ensembl:lincRNA
CCAGGGUUUGAAGAAAGACACUGUAGCUUUUGGAUUCAGCAACGGAUCUUUCAAGAAAACAGUAUGGAGGGAUGACUCACUCCCCCCAUGGAGGCUGCCCUCUAGUUCGUCCUUUAGAGGAAGCAUGACCAAGGGUCUGCUAGUACUUUUCUCUCCCUCUCUAAGAAUUUCCUCAGGAGAGGAAAAAGUUAGCUUUCUUUUCUCUGCUCCCGAGUGCCACGGCCUGCAGUGCGUGACCAGUCCUCGGCACAGAGUCACUCAGGGCUCAUGGUAGAUUCUUAGCAGUCACAGCCAAUAGCUGCGCAGUGUGGCAGCAGCUGAGAUCCAUACUGCAGCCUGAAAGUUGUGUUUCAGCUUCUGAGGUUACAAGUGUAUCCAGUGUUUACAUCAGAGAUAAAGCCCCCUUUCCCCUCUCUCCUACGGGAGCCCUCAACAAGACAGAUACACGGGUUGGGUGGAGUGAGACCACAUGCAGCAGAGGCAAAGCUUGCUAAAAGAGAGAGAAGGAGGAGGGGGAGAGGGAGGAGGCGGCACGGCGUCCCUUGGCAGCUCCGUGCAUGCUGCGGCAGUUGCAACAGGAGAACCGAGUACCAGUUGCUCCACACUUUAUCACUUUGCAUUGCUCUUUCUCCUCCCUUAAGUGAAUUUCCAUUUUGAGGGUACAGCUCCACAGGAGAAAGGUGUGGUGGUGGUAGUGGUGGAGGGUGUCUGGGCGGGGGAUGGUGGUGCGACGGGAGUUGGAAUGUCCAGUGUGGGGAAGCAAAGGAGUGCCUACUAGGAUGCGAAUACCACUUGGCCCUGGGUUCGCUCCGCUUUAGCCUUCCCCUCUCGCUGGGGAGAAACAGGCGGUUUGUGAGGGAGACUGAGAGAGGGGCGUGUUUGUGGUGGUGGCGGCCCAUCGGGGGUCCUUGUCCUCUCCGAAUACCCGGACUGCUGAGGGGAAGGGCCGGGGGGGCCCCGGCGGUUGCCAUGGUGACGCAGGGUCGGCGGCUCCGCGCCGUAGAGACAAAGCCGCCCGCCCGCCAGCCCGCUAGCUCCUCGCGCGAGCUCCUCCUCCACGGGAACCUCCCUCCCCUCCCAGGCGCCGCCGCAGCCGGAGCGGCUCCCGGGCCCUGGGCCGCCGGCGGCCAGGUAAGGCGAUCGCGCCCGCGGCCGGGGAGGGGUCGGCGGGACGCCGGGUGGGGUGGGGUGGGGUGGGGUGCGGCGGGGCCCGCCCGGCUCGCGGAGGGAGGGGUGCCCGCACUCGGCUGCGCCCGAGUCCCCGGGGGCCCGUCCCCACCGAGGAAACGGCCGGCGGCCGCCCCCGACGCCGCUGCCGCUGCCGCCGCCGCCGCCCCCGCGGCUUCCCCAACGCCGGGGCAGCAGCCAGCCCCGCAAUCCUGGACGGCGCCGGGCCGCCCAAGCGCGCCGAGGAGAGGGGGCGGCAAACUUCGGGCCGAGCGGCGCCGGGGCCCGCGCGCGGAGUCUCCCUCCGGGCACCACGGGGGCCGCCGUCCUGGCACCAACUUGAGGGGCUGUGCGGCGGCGGGCGGCUGCGGAGCGCCCGCGCGGGCUGCACCUGCUCAGGGAGCUGCUCCUCUGUUGUUGUUGUUAUUUUCCUUCUUGGCGUGCCAUCGAGGCUUUUGGGGGGAAAAAAGGAAGAAAUACUUGUGUUGGCUGCAUUUCCAGGGAUGCUACCAGAGCUCAAGGCUGUCACCUGGUCUUGCCCAGAAGAGCCAUUCUUAG